GUUCGCGUAGUGUAGUGGUUAUCACGUUCGCCUCACACGCGAAAGGUCCCCGGUUCGAACCCGGGCGAAAACA
rfam:Ciona savignyi cont_35206, whole genome shotgun sequence.